AGAGUACAACAUGGGUGAGGCGGUGGCGGGUGAGGGGGGAGGUGGUUGGGGAAGGAGGCUGGAUGGCUCUGAUCGCCCAGGCCAGAAAGGGAGGAUCCCCGUGGUCAGGUACUGGGAGCCAGUUCUGCGUCCCUGCCUCCCGACUUCAGGCUAAGGGAUGGCGAAGGUUGAGAGCCGGCUCAAGACGACCUGUGGUUUUUCCUUGCAGUCCUGUAACCCUCCUCUAUCCACAGAUGAGACCACCCAUCCCCACUCUGACCCCGGGCCUGGGUAGUUCCACACCUAGGGACACAGGGGCCCCUCUGAGCCGGAAGAGAGAACCCUGCCCUGGUAGGAGUAGGUCUCCCCACCAAUGCAGCCCAAAGCCCCAGGGAGCAGAUAUUUACAGAACUGCCAAGCUUGGGCCCUCAGGGCACAGAUCUUCAGCCUGCCUCCCCAACCACCUCAGGACUCCACCAGUGGCCAGCUGCCCCCCCUCUUCCCUGCUAGUGGACCGCUUGGGGAGGACGACUGGCUGAAGGUCCUAGAGAUCUAGGGAGGCCCUUUCCCCAGCCCCGGCUCCUUAAAAGAGUUUUGAGGGCAGAGACCAAGAUAGUGAAUGACGCAGCCGCAUUUCUAGUGGCGGCGGAAAUGGUGUGUGAAGUCUGAAUAUUUGGGCUAGCGGGUGCAAAAACCACCCUAGAUGCCAGGUGCCUCUGGGUGAGUCUCUCCCUGCCUUGCCAAGUCUGGCCCUCUUGCCUUCCUUCUCUUAAACCAUCUUUAACGUGGCAGCCCGCAGCUUCUCCGGCAGCCAAUGUGUUUCUGAUAAAGCACUUUUCUCCCCACUAACAGAUUCCAGCUUUUGGCUCCUGAAGCCACAACACACACGCACACGAGUUCAGGGACCAGGGUUGCAUGAAAUCAGUGCUCAUGUGUUGGCUUCCUUUUUACAUACAUGGUUUAACCAGGAAUCCUGAGAUCAUCCCUCUGCCCAGGUACCAUGGGUAUGGUCAGCUGACGGGGGUGUCCUCCCCUAGUUUGGUACCCAACUCUUCAGGUUGUGUGUGUGCACACACACACACAGGGGAAGGGUCAUGAGAAGGACCUGAGUGAUAUCACUGAGAAGGCAAAGGUUUGCAAGGACUGUAUUAUCUUUGCUCUGUCGACUUGGACUUAACCCUAUAAAAAGAGGAAAGAGAACAGAAUUAAUGAAAGCAUCAAGUUCGGGGUCAUAUGUAGAAGGAGUCACCACCACAGUUUAAGGAGAAUGAAUCGGUGACUUUAAAGGCUUCCAGGCAUAAUUGGAUGGAGUGGGACAGUCAGUGUGUCCGCUGUAACUCUGAAGUGGACGAUGAUUGUCUUAGCUGAAAACGAAACGAACCCUUUGGGACGCUGUUGAGAAAAAUGCCAAAGAAGAAAAAGUGUGCCCACUCUGGCCACCGAAGACACUAGAGCAAUGCCGUCUGAAAUACAGAUGCCAUUUUCAUUCUUCCCUUCUUGCCUUCAGAACCCCAAUUUACAGAAGAAAAAAGAAAAAAAAAACCUUAGACAAAAGUCGAGCAGGGCCAAUACUAGUUACUUUUGGCACAAAGGUCUUGCGGUAUGUUUUUUAAUGGAGGGGGUGGGAGUGGGGUGAGGUGUGGGAGUAUUUGAGUGAGGAGAGAGAUCAAUAAUAUCUCUGAUACUAACGUCUAAGGAUAAUCGUUUGAGAAUUGAGAUGCUUUUGACCAAGUACUUCCAACCUCUAGACGGAAAAGACGCUGUGUAAAUACUUGUCUGAUCAAAUACUGGUCUGAUGUGUCAUUAUUGUUUUUUUCAGUGACCCUCAACUUUGAUAGAUGGGGACAGUGGGGUCCUGGAGAGAGCAUGGUCACUUAGCGUUACUUCGAUGCACGUCACAGCCGAACACAAAACAAUGUCCCCCACUUAAUACAAUAAACACUGGGGACUCACUGCCUUGUGAGUUCCUCUGAGGGAACCUGCUUUCCCUAGAUAAGAGAUCAAAAGUAGAGGGUAUAUUUUCAUUUUCUGGGUGUCUGUCUUUAAAUCCGGCUUAGUGAAGCAAGGUGUCUCCUCGAUUUUUGGUCGAGGGCAAGAGGACACAGGGUUUUUCCAAAUCUUAUUUUCUCUUUUUAAAAGGUCAGAUUUGUGAGUGACACAGGGGUGAACUGAGCAACUGUGAAAUUCUCAUUGCUUCAGAGUGACUGGGUAUUGUGGAAAUGGAAAGAAUAGGAAAUUAUAUUUCACACUCUAUGAAGCCUUCUUGCUGCUGCUUCUGGUGAUGGUUUUGGACUAGAAUGGGAGGGGCAGGAUAAAGCGGAUCUUGAAGAAAUAGGUAAGUGUGGAAUGCCCCACUCCAAUCUUCCCUACUGCCUUCUCCACGUUCUGACUCAAAGGUGGGUUGGCCUGUGUGGCUACCAGAGCACAUGCGACUUCAAAUUGAGCUAGUUCUGCGUGUCCUUUAUUAACUCAGCUAGCCACUCAGCUAGCUAGCUGUUUUGUCCUUUUGAGAUCCCUAUAUCCUUUUCAUUCUGCUCAACGCUUUAUAUAAGCGCAGUGGCAGUAAAAAAUUAGAGCCAGGGAAGAGGGUUCCCGCUGAAAAUUUUAUGGAUCAGCUGAGACAAGAGUCAAAUGGCUACCAGGACUUCAGCUACUAGCUUGGGAAACCAGUUAUUCCCAAUUUUUUUUUUAACUGAACCCCUAGAUGAUUCUCUUCAAGUUCACUCACAGUAGAACGUUAGCAAGUUUUCUGAAAUGGUUUCCCUGUAAGGGCUGACAAGGGGGGAUGGUCAAAUUUUCCAGCUGGGGAGGCUUUUCGAUUUGGAACCAAACUGAAUUUUGGCUUGCGUCUCUAGAAAAGAAACUGGUCAUGGCUGUGGGGCCCAGAACCCCGAGAGAUGAUAAGCAUUUGCAAUCUUGAGCGCUUAUCUCCUCCUGUAUCUGGCCUUCUUGCAUUUAUAAAGUAAAUCGGGAAAUCUCACUACAACAGGCUUUCCUGUGAGGAGGCUGGCAUUUCCUGCCUGCCCCACUGGGGACAGGAAUGGAGGGAACACACUGCUGAUGUUCAGGUUUUCCCAUUUCAGCCCUGCAGCUGCUGCGGGGGUUGGGGUGGGGGGGCGGGGGGGUGGGGAGAAGAGGGCACCCACCCAGAGAUCAGCAAUGGUGUGAAUUCGAGCUAAGGAGGUCAUUGUUUUCCUGAUACACUUUUCAUACAGCCUUCUUACACAUAAAAUAAGAAAAGAAACACCCAUUGUUACUUAUUUGAACACACACACAUGCCCAGGUACAUAUUCUGCAUAUGUGUGUUGCAUGGAUACCCAGCUGUCUUGCUUUGAUGAAAUUGAUAUAUAUUGUCAUAUACUUCUGACAAACUGCCAUUAAAUUGGUUAUCUUAAAAUAUAA